rnacentral:lncRNA from 1 species
GUAAAUUUAAAUGCAGUCCAGAGUAGUGAAGGCCGUUUGUAAGGUCUGCUGAGCUAAUGGAUUCAUAAUGACUUUUAAAGCUUCACUCGGUACAUCCUAUGUGCCAGACACUGCGAUAGGUUCUGGAGAUAACAACAGUGUCCAAGAAACAACAGUGUCCAAGAAACAGGACUUUCCCUCAAAGAGCUUACUGGGGAAGCCAGCAAGACCAGCAGACAAACACAGCUGCACUGGGGGAGAGCCUGCUGAAGCUGCUUGAAUCUCAACACUGUCAUACCCGCCAUCUCAUUAUCUACAGCCACAUCUAAAACCCACAUGAAAUACCAAGUCACACGCGGCUCUGGGAAAGACAUUUUACAGAGACCAUCUUAUGAGUUUUUAAUCUGCCUCCUGAGAACUUACAAUCUAAGAAAUAGAAAACUGAUUCCAGUAAGCAUGCCCAGAAUAUGCUAGCAGCAAGAUUAAAACAUGAAACUAUGAAUGUUAAGGUAUUUAUAACACGCAUCGUUUAAUAGGAUAACAUUUUUCUUAGCAGGAAGGAGCAAAUUUAAGUGCAUUCAGACGUGGGAGAGGGAGAUUGGCCAGCUAAGGAGAUUGGACAGGGUGGAUGCGGAGCUUCUAAGUCCAGAGGAAAACAAAUGAUCAGCUCACGGUAACCCGGGUAGCCGGGCCUUCCACAGCGCUGAUUCCACAGUCUAAAACUUCUAGACCUUCAGGUGGCCGGUUCAAUGUUUCCGUUUAGGUCAUGAGCUCGGCAACAAAUUAAGUAAAGUGUCCCCAGUAAAUGCUGAUAAGCCCCAGGAGGAAACAGGGGCAUCCCCACGCAUACCAAAUGCACUCAUUAGCAUCCCUGCUAUUAUGAAGAAUAGCAAAAUGACCUUGCAAUCAUUAGAAGCUUAAAAUGCUAUGACUUAAGUUUAGAAGGACACAUAUUACAUUGUAAAACCUAAUUAGUGUUACCUUUGCUAAUUGCUGCCUGGCACUGAACUGGAUAAAAUCAAUGCAUGACGGACGUUCCGGGGCAUCAGACAUAACCCCAUCACUAUUUUUAAAAGAAGUAAAAUUAUAGAAGAGCCUUUUGAAAAGGUGUUUUUAACUGAGUUGUUUGACGGAUGUGAGGGAAGCGUGGGCAGUCCAUGCAUUUAUUUGUAUGAAUCCUAAAUGCUGAAAUCUUCUCCCAAGAACACUGUUCUUCUCCUGUACUUCUUUAAUGUAAAUGCGAGAAUAUCAAACAACGGGGGAAAUUACGACAGCGUCAAAAUCCAACCACAGCAUGAAAACAGCUGUGCAGGGAUAUAGUGAAAUCCUAUCCCACAGGCAAUUAGAAUACUCAGCCCUAUCCUAGCCCGAUUCUGCAGCAGGGAUGCCAGGCAGUGCUCUGUGUCUAGGAGCAGGUUCAUCCACUAGAUAAGCUCUACCCGAGCCUCUCUUUUGUCCUCUCUUGAGUAGGUCUCGAGGGCUGUAUGCACUACCGUGGAAAUGUCAAUGAAGCCAGACCCUUCUCCUAUCUGGAGGCUGUCAUGGCCAUAGUGCUGGGGGCAUAGAAGUCAGGUCAUGCUGUAGUUUCUACUUGGCUACUGGAGAUGAAAUCAACCAGAGAAAAGGGGUCAUGCCUCCAGCCACACCUGCCCACCGGAAACACACACACAUAAUACAUACACACGUGCACAUGCACACACACGUGCACAGAGCCAGGCCUUACUUCUAGCUGUGCUCAGCAUUUGUAAUAAGGCUGUGAAAAGAAAAUCAUUUUCUCAGGGUUGCUUUUUUUCUUCCUUAAGGAUAAAUAAUAGCUGAUUUUUCAAGAAAAAAAAGCUGCCACUUGUGCCUCUCCCAGGGCCCCUCCUGAGCAUAUCCUAAAUGGUACAGAUUAAAAUCGAGUCAUAAAACUUACAAACCACAAGCAGUGAGAAAGACAGUUGGGAGUUCUGCUUCCACGGUGGGUCCUGAGGAGGGCUGGGGUCCCCUGGAGUCCCUCAGCUUCUGCUGAGCAGGAGGGUACGAAGGGGAUGAAGAAAACAGAGCAGGCAGGGACCACCCUCAGGCAUGGCAGCCCCUCUUAGCUAUUUUAAAUAUUGUUCCCUGUAAAAUUUCAAUUAGGAAAGGAAAGCUUCUACUGCUAAAAAUUAUUGGAAGAUCACCAAGAAGCCAUUGAGGCCAAGGGAGGCUAAGUGGCCUCUCUCUGGUGCACAGAGACACUGAUAGAGCCAGGAUCAGAAUUCAGGCACCCAGAGUCCAGCAUUCUGUCUCCAGCUGGGCAUGGAAGGAAGGGGAAGGGAGCCAACCAUUCCCAAUGCUGGCAGUGGCCUAGAAUUCCUAGGCUUCCUGAAAGAUAUCAAACCCCAACUUUGUUUUUGCAGAUAUUCAUAUGUAUUCUUGGGCAAGAUUUCUUUCCCUGGGCUAGAUGUCCCAAGGACCACACUCCUCUGUCCCUUUCAAAGAAAAGACAGACCUCACUGGGAAGUCCUGGAUUGUGUCCACUGCUGCUGUCACCGGAGUCUGACCCCAGCCCUGCCCAUCUCCAGGGAUCGCAGAACCUGCCAGCCAACUUCCUUUGAGUCAGCCGGUCAGGGCUGCAUCUUAGAAGCCAAGCUGCUUUGGUGUGAUUUCUGAAGUCUGUGCAUUUGCCUUAACUGUCAGGCCACUGGCUUCCCUGAGACUGGCUUCUGCCGUUUGCUCCCUGACAGUGAUAGUGAUAGCAGGACAGACUAACAGUCGGAGCACCCUGUGCAUCUCUUUCCAAGGAAUCCAUCCAUGGCAGGGACUGUGGAGCGCUCUCAAAGACAGCCACUUUGCAGGCAUUUAGUAGGACAUGGGCUCACCUCUUGCCUCCUCUUCUGCCUUUCCUUCCAGCUCCUUGCCCUUUACAAUAGCUGAAGAUUUUUUUAAGUGGAGCUGCUGAUAAUUAAAAUUAUAUCUUUUUUCCACCAAUGUCUGAAACUCUGGGAAGUCAUUAUCAGAGUCAGACAGUGAUAUUUUGAUAUCCCAGGAUCUUUUUGAUAUAAGGAAUAAAGUUCUAAGGCAUGAGAAGAUAGAGAGCCAUGCUAUUUCCUAAUCACCCUUUAUAAUUUGCAGUAUCUUGGGACGCUUCUCAGAUGUUUCCACUGUGGCUUAUGUACACUUCAAACCCAUGUGCCAUUAAAUGCAGAAGCUAGGUACUGAAUUAAUAAAGGUAGCUUCAAAAGCCCACCUCUUUGGCAGGCUGAAGAUCUAAGGGCAAACUCAAAGAGGGUGAUGGGCCUUUGAAAAUUACUAAGCACAAACAAUAAACCUCAUUAAAUAAAGGCAGCAGAGUGGGCUCAGAAAUGUAAUGAACCAAGCGGGGGACCAACAGCACUGGAAUCAGCCUGGGAAUUAACAUAUCAGGGAGCUGAGGCUCAGGUUGAAAGAAGGGAUUGUGUUUUGGAAAAUCAUGUGACUCCUAUUGAAACAAUGCUGAGGACAGUGGUUGGGAGGAUGCUGGGGCAGCGCUGGGCACAGGCAGGCCGCUGUGGUGCUGGGACUGGGGGACGCUCAUGUUUGCAGUCGUCUACUCUCUCACUCACCCUAGUGGCUUCAGUAGAGUCUACAGAAGGCAGAGUAUUUGGGCAGGGCCUGUAAAGAAAGAGAAAAGCUGAUAGAAGCUGCUUGGCCAUCGAAAUGAACUCCUUUUGCCAGGAUGUGCAGCCACGGGACUCCCACAGCACCCCUCCAGGUGCCUUCUGUCCACAGCCAGGGAGCAGAAAACUGGAGGGAUUUGGUCACCAUUAAAUGGCAAAGUGCUUGAUGAGAUCCUGUUGAAAAUUGAGCAGCAGAUUGGACAAUUAGAGUGCCAGACCAGCACGUGGAGUUUUCAGAAAUAGAUGGGAGUUGCUGGAUAAUAGGUCACAUUAGGCCACCACAGGAGCACGCAGGACUGCUCAGUCUCUGAGCCCCAAGCUCUUCCCUCUAGACUCUGGCAUGGCCAGUACAAGCCCUUUCUCGGCUAUUGUUGCUGGUCAGGGCUGACUGUCUUAGGUAUGAGGCACUCUCGGAAGGCUGCUCAGGAAGAAGACCCUUUCUCUUUCAUGAACCUGCCGGGAGCCAGAAACCAUUCUCCUCCCACUUUCACCCCUCAGCUCUAUCCCCACCUCCCCAAUAAUUUUAUCUUCAUUUUAACUCAAGAAUUUAACUACAGAGAUUGCACUGACCCAUCCCCCUAGAAUGAAAGGACACAAGAUCCUCCACCAGAUAGUUAUUUGUGAUUGUGGCUGGGGGUUUAUUUAAACUAAUUUUAUUAUUCAUGACACUGACAAUUUAUGCAGUGAAUGCAAUUAGAGGCUAUGAUUGGCUGCCACAGCUAAGGGCUAAAAGUGCCACUUCCUUGGAUAUGCAAGGAAGAAAGGCGAAGAAUGUUAGAAAAAUAAUCAGUCACGGAGAUAUUUUUUAUGAAGUGAUUCCCACAAACCUUGAUUUUUAAAAAAAGCUAAUUUAAUUUCCCUAACACCCUGCAAAAGAUAUCUAAUUAUCCACUCUUAAAUUGCUCUCAUAAUUUUUCCAAAGUUCUCUAUUGUUUAUGCCUUUGUGAGUUCUCCUUGUCUACAAGCAAAGAAGCUGUCGUCUCAAUGUGCAGGUUCCAAUAAAACGUACUGAAACUGAUUCUUCCCGAAGCUGUGCAUAGAAGCCCUGAUGUGGCCUGUAAUAUAUUUGUCCAUUUAACCAGGAAAUAUUUGAGAAACAAGACUUGAGUGGUAAUCAUUUAGAGUUCUGGGAGGAGAAGAGGGAAUUGACUUUUUUUCUUCUCCUUUUUUUUUCCAAGAAGAACAAUUUUUAAAAAAUCAUUGGACAUCAAACCAAAACAAAUCAUGGUGCCUCCACACAAUGGGAUAUUCCUCAGCAGUAGAAAGGAAUGGACUACUGAUCACGCAGUAAUGAUGACGAAUGUCAAUGUAAUUAUGCCAAGUGAAAGAAGCCAGCCAAAAGGUGGAGAAGAUGAGUUAAGGACGUUUCAAGCAGAGUUGCCAGCAUGAGUAAGGUCAUGGAAAUUGUGACGGUGACCAUGACCUUUGGAAGUAAUGCAAAGUCCCGUGUGCCUGGAACAUAGAUAGAGAGGGAUGCAGGAGAGAGAGGUGACAGGAAGUGCGACAAUGAGCAUUUGUUGGGAAGAGGCUAUAAAGUUCUUUAACUGCUGUGCUGCUUGAAGAUCUCUCUCCUACCACUUCUGGUGACCUGCUUUGCCUUUCCAAGUUGCCUCAAUUUCCUCUUAACUAUUCCUGGCUUCUCAAGAACUCUCUAUAGCAGAUGAUGAUCCUCCUGUCUCCUGCUCAGCUGCCAAGGAGUUAGGCUCCAGAUUCAGUAUCUGACUCAAUUAAUUUUCAGAAGAGAAAGGCAAAGUGAAUUAAAGUAACAAACCCUACCUGCUGUCACUUAAACGAGGAGAUGUAUUACUUUUUACUACAAUGAUAUUUGCUACAACGGAAGAAUCAUGCACAUCCAUUGAAGUUAGAGUACUGGCAGAGGGGCUCAGCAGGCAGAGCUACUGGGUCUAUCUAAACACUCACCCCUGUUGUCUCUACUGCACAGUCAUUGAAUGUCCAACAAGUCAUAUUCAUGGAGGUGAGGGUCUCUGAACCCAUGGUUCUUGAACCCAGAAACUUCAAAUGUUUCCAGGUUUGGUUGAGUUUUACAGUUUCUGCAGAAGUGGAAGGCUGCCACUCAAAAUGCACCAUUAGUCAGUCCAAGCAUGGGAUCAAAAAUUUUCUUCUAGUCAUUGCAGGCACAAAAGGGGGAUUAAAGCAGCUCUUUGCUGCACUUUAGGCAGUCGAGAAUGUCAAAGAUCGGCUCUUGCCUUUGCAACAUUUGUUGGCAGCACCAGAAAGCAUGAAAAAUAAUGGAAAUAAGAUUACUGCAGACCAGAGGAUUGAGGGACGUAAUUCCUCCCUGCAUUCUGCGUUCUACUGGGAUGCCUCCAGACUAUCUCUUUGUACCAGGAGCCAGAGCGUUUCUCCUGGUCACAAUUGCAUGGGACAGGGUGGACAAACCAUCUCUAUAUUUUGUAACAGCAAAAUGCAAAUAGGUAGGGAUGAUUUGUGUUGCUAGUUCAGUUAACCAAGGAGGUGAAUUUUGUAACAAUAAGGAUAGAAAGAGGAGGUUCAGCAAUGGAUGUAGGCCCAUUCUUCUGCCCUGCUGCACACAGCAAGGUAAAAUUCUAAAAUGUGCCCCAUACUGGAAAGAAUAUCUGCAAUCAUUAAUCUAAAGGAGAAGGAGAUGUAUGCACCUGCUUACACUUUAACAAGUGGUUGGCAAUUUUUAGAUACAUUUGAAAGGAUCCUUCAGUGAAAAGUGUUCUCAGAGAAAGUCAAGAGGGCAGGAGUCAGGGUGAACAAAGUUUCCAGGACUGAACUGCUCAUUUCCUAGAUGUUCCAGAGUACAAGGAAAUGAUCAUGGGAAAAGACCUGACCAAUCAGGGGCCUAUUUAGGGCUUGAUCCCCCCUACACACACACCCAUAUAUACGCACACCCCUACAUACAUGCACCCCAGGAAGGCUCUCAAAUGGGCCUUGUAUCCCUGCAAGCACUAAUUAGUUCAUUCUGAUUCCCUAGCAGUUUUGGCACUUGUCCUUUAAAAUCAGACACCUGUUGUUUCGGUUUUUUAAAGUUGCAUUGGCCGGGCUCAGUGGCUCACAUCUAUAAUCCCAGCACUUAGGGAGGCUGAGG